GACGAACGCUGGCGGCGUGCUUAACACAUGCGAGUGGAGCGACGAACCAGGCUUCGGCCUGGGGCAGAGCCGCGAACGGGUGAGUAACACGUGGGUAACCUGCCCUGAUGAUCGGGACAACCCGGGGAAACCCGGGCUAAUACCGAAUGUGCUGCCCUCGCAUCAGUGAGGGUAGGAAAGGAAGCUUCGGCCUCCGCAUCAGGAUGGGCCCGCGGCCCAUUAGCUUGUUGGUGAGGUAACGGCUCACCAAGGCUUCGAUGGGUAGCUGGUCUGAGAGGACGAUCAGCCACACUGGGACUGAGACACGGCCCAGACUCCUACGGGAGGCAGCAGUGGGGAAUCUUGCGCAAUGCGCGAAAGCGUGACGCAGCAACGCCGCGUGGGGGAAGAAGGCCUUCGGGUUGUAAACCCCUUUCAGGAGGGACGAAGCCAGGGCGGUGAA
rnacentral:rRNA from 1 species